AGCGAACGCUGGCGGCAGGCCUAACACAUGCAAGUCGAACGAAGUCUUCGGACUUAGUGGCGGACGGGUGAGUAACACGUGGGAACGUGCCUUUAGGUUCGGAAUAACCCAGGGAAACUUGUGCUAAUACCGAAUGUGCCCUUCGGGGGAAAGAUUUAUCGCCUUUAGAGCGGCCCGCGUUUGAUUAGCUAGUUGGUGAGGUAAAGGCUCACCAAGGCGACGAUCAGUAGCUGGUCUGAGAGUAUGACCAGCCACAUUGGGACUGAGACACGGACCAAACUCCUACGGGAGGCAGCAGUGGGGAAUCUUGCGCAAUGGGCGAAAGCCUGACGCAGCCAUGCCGCGUGGAUGAUGAAGGUCUUAGGAUUGUAAAAUCCUUUCACCGGUGAAGAUAAUGACUGUAGCCGGAGAAGAAGCCCCGGCUAACUUCGUGCCAGCCGCCGCCGUAACAC
rnacentral:rRNA from 1 species